rnacentral:rRNA from 1 species
GAUGAACGCUGGCGGCGUGCCUAAUACAUGCAAGUCGAGCGAACGGACGAGAAGCUUGCUUCUCUGAUGUUAGCGGCGGACGGGUGAGUAACACGUGGAUAACCUACCUAUAAGACUGGGAUAACUUCGGGAAACCGGAGCUAAUACCGGAUAAUAUUUUGAACCGCAUGGUUCAAAAGUGAAAGACGGUCUUGCUGUCACUUAUAGAUGGAUCCGCGCUGCAUUAUCUAGUUGGUAAGGUAACGGCUUACCAAGGCAACGAUGCAUAGCCGACCUGAGAGGGGGAUCGGCCACACGGGAACUGAGACACGGUCCAGACGCCUACGGGAGGCAGCAGUAGGGAAUCGUCCGCAAUGGGCGAAAGCCUGACGGAGCAACGCCGCGUGAGUGAUGAAGGUCUUCGGAUCGUAAAACUCUGUUAUUAGGGAAGAACAUAUGUGUAAGUAACUGUGCACAUCUUGACGGUACCUAAUCAGAAAGCCACGGCUAACUACGUG